rnacentral:rRNA from 1 species
UACGUAGGUGACCAGCGUUGUCCGGAUUUACUGGGCGUAAAGAGCGCGCAGGCGGUCGUUCAAGUCGAGUGUGAAAGCCCCCGGCUCAACUGGGGAGGGUCACUCGAUACUGAUCGACUUGAAGGCAGGAGAGGGAAGCGGAAUUCCCGGUGUAGUGGUGAAAUGCGUAGAUAUCGGGAGGAACACCAGUGGCGAAGGCGGCUGCCUGGCCUGUUCUUGACGCUGAGGCGCGAAAGCUAGGGGAGCAAACGGG